CCAAUGGGGGCGGGCCUACACAUGCAAGUCGAACGGUAACAGGAAGCAGCUUGCUGCUUCGCUGACGAGUGGCGGACGGGUGAGUAAUGUCUGGGAAACUGCCUGAUGGAGGGGGAUAACUACUGGAAACGGUAGCUAAUACCGCAUAACGUCGCAAGACCAAAGAGGGGGACCUUCGGGCCUCUUGCCAUCGGAUGUGCCCAGAUGGGAUUAGCUAGUAGGUGGGGUAACGGCUCACCUAGGCGACGAUCCCUAGCUGGUCUGAGAGGAUGACCAGCCACACUGGAACUGAGACACGGUCCAGACUCUACGGGAGGCAGCAGUGGGGGAAUAUUGCACAAUGGGCGCAAGCCUGAUGCAGCCAUGCCGCGUGUAUGAAGAAGGCYUUCGGGUUGUAAAGUACUUUCAGCGGGGAAGGAAAGGGAGUAAAGUUAAUACCUUUGCUCAUUGACGUUACCCGCAGAAGAAGCACCGGCUAACUCCGUGCCAGCAGCCGCGGUAAUACGGAGGGUGCAAGCGUUAAUCGGAAUUACUGGGCGUAAAGCGCACGCAGGCGGUUUGUUAAGUCAGAUGUGAAAUCCCCGGGCUCAACCUGGGAACUGCAUCUGAUACUGGCAAGCUUGAGUCUCGUAGAGGGGGGUAGAAUUCCAGGUGUAGCGGUGAAAUGCGUAGAGAUCUGGAGGAAUACCGGUGGCGAAGGCGGCCCCCUGGACGAAGACUGACGCUCAGGUGCGAAAGCGUGGGGAGCAAACAGGAUUAGAUACCCUGGUAGUCCACGCCGUAAACGAUGUCGACUUGGAGGUUGUGCCCUUGAGGCGUGGCUUCCGGAGCUAACGCGUUAAGUCGACCGCCUGGGGAGUACGGCCGCAAGGUUAAAACUCAAAUGAAUUGACGGGGGCCCGCACAAGCGGUGGAGCAUGUGGUUUAAUUCGAUGCAACGCGAAGAACCUUACCUGGUCUUGACAUCCACGGAAGUUUUUCAGAGAUGAGAAAUGGUGCCUUCGGGAACYGUGAGACAGGUGCUGCAUGGGCUGUCGUCAGCUCGUGUUGUGAAAUGUUGGGUUAAGUCCCGCAACGAGCGCAACCCUUAUCCUUUGUUGCGAGCGGUCCGGCCGGGAACUCAAAGGAGACUGCCAGUGAUAAACUGGAGGAAGGUGGGGAUGACGUCAAGUCAUCAUGGUCCCUUACGAGCAGGGCUACACACGUGCUACAAUGGCGCAUACAAAGAGAAGCGACCUCGCGAGAGCAAGCGGACCUCAUAAAGUGCGUCGUAGUCCGGAUUGGAGUCUGCAACUCGACUCCAUGAAGUCGGAAUCGCUAGUAAUCGUGGAUCAGAAUGCCACGGUGAAUACGUUCCCGGGCCUUGUACACACCGCCCGUCACACCAUGGGAGUGGGUUGCAAAAGAAGUAGGUAGCUUAACCUUCGGGAGGGCGCUACCACUUUGAUGAU
rnacentral:rRNA from 1 species